ACUGCUGCCAGCGAAUGGAAUAAUAAUCAGCGACGGAGCUUCUCCCUCACCCCAGCGAGAAUUUCAGACUGACUUUCUCUCCCGGCUCCCAACCAGAGAAUUCGCAGACCCGCAAAUACCGAGAAAAGAACAACGCGGGUAUUUCCGUGAAAAUUAAAAGCGAUAUGGAGAAAAGAUGCCUG